rnacentral:rRNA from 1 species
AACCUGCCCAUAAGACUGGGAUAACUCCGGGAAACCGGGGCUAAUACCGGAUAACAUUUUGAACCGCAUGGUUCGAAAUUGAAAGGCGGCUUCGGCUGUCACUUAUGGAUGGACCCGCGUCGCAUUAGCUAGUUGGUGAGGUAACGGCUCACCAAGGCAACGAUGCGUAGCCGACCUGAGAGGGUGAUCGGCCACACUGGGACUGAGACACGGCCCAGACUCCUACGGGAGGCAGCAGUAGGGAAUCUUCCGCAAUGGACGAAAGUCUGACGGAGCAACGCCGCGUGAGUGAUGAAGGCUUUCGGGUCGUAAAACUCUGUUGUUAGGGAAGAACAAGUGCUAGUUGAAUAAGCUGGCACCUUGACGGUACCUAACCAGAAAGCCACGGCUAACUACGUGCCAGCAGCCGCGGUAAUACGUAGGUGGCAAGCGUUAUCCGGAAUUAUUGGGCGUAAAGCGCGCGCAGGUGGUUUCUUAAGUCUGAUGUGAAAGCCCACGGCUCAACCGUGGAGGGUCAUUGGAAACUGGGAGACUUGAGUGCAGAAGAGGAAAGUGGAAUUCCAUGUGUAGCGGUGAAAUGCG